rnacentral:rRNA from 1 species
AACGUAGGACACAAGCGUUAUCCGGAGUUACUGGGCGUAAAGGGCGUGUAGGCGGAUCGGUAAGUCUACUCUGAAAGCUCCUGGCUAAACUGGGGGAGGCGAGUGGAGACUGUCGGUCUAGAGUGAGGAAGAGGAAAGUGGAAUUCCGCGUGAUAGUGGUGAAAUGCGUAGAGAUGCGGGAGGAACACCAGUGGCGAAAGCGGCUUUCUGGUC